AUUUAUAAUCCUCUCUCUCUCUGUGGGGUCACUUUGAUUUGCUGGUUUUCCCCCAUAGAGAUCAUGGCUCCUCACAAGGUGAUGACUCCACAAGACUCUCCUUCCAGAAACUCUUCAGAGUAAGAACCUAAAUACCAAGCAGGAAGUCUCUGCGUGGAUGGUGAGAGGAAUUUUGCCUUCAGUUAACCAACUACUUCUCACUUUGACCUAUGUAAUAAUGAAUUUGGUCUCCACCAUUCCACCACUCGGAAUGUGAAUUGCCCGCCUAGUCCAUGAUCCAGGCUUCAUGAUUCUUUUUUGAUGAGAACAGAUCCUUGUGUUUGUACUUGUUCUAGUUUAGUUUCUCCCCACCCCCCCCCUUUACAUUGCUUCUCUGUUUUUAAGCACAUAAAAUGUAUUUCAACACUUAACAACACAAGAAGUAUAAUCAAGGACUACAAAAUGUUCCAGCUAAGUUUCUCUUUUGAAGUGAUAACCAAGCGUUGCUACACAGGCUGACUGCAUGGUAGCUUAAUAGGAUGUUAUAAAAACCCUUUUCAACAUUAAACAGGAAAGUAAACCUGCCAGUUUUACUUUAAAAUACAAAAUUAAUUUCCUGCCACGAUCUCAUUGCCAAAAUGAUUUCUCGCAAUGUUGAAGAUUUGUAAGUGCAAUCUCCACCUAAAAAUUGAAAGUUAAGCGCUGUGUUCCUAAUUAAGGCUCACGUUCUUAUUUUCAUGUGAGAAAAAAAUAACAAAUAAAAGACUUCCUCUUCAAGCGAUCUGAAUUGUUCAAUACGUGUGUAAGAUUCUUGAUAAUAUUUUAAGUCUGUUUUUCUUAACCUGGCAGAAAGCACUGUUUUGUAAUGAAGGCAUUUUAAUAAAAUCACAUGUAACUGCAUUAUUAUAAAUGCCUCAUCUUGACUUUCUUCAAAGUUAUCCAAAUUCAGUGUUUCUGGUGUAGCCACUUGAGUUCACAUUAGAUUUAUCUCACCCUAUAAAAGCACAAUUCAUUAAACAGACUAGUCUAUUUAAACUAAGGCAAUUUUAUCACAGUCAAUUCAAUUAUUUAACACUGCUUUUUAAACUCACUACUUAAAGCUUUCUUUUGACAAGUAUGCCUUUAAAUAAAUGAGUUGUAAUUUAAAGAAUGAAAAAAGAUCAAGUUCCCUUCCAAUAUAUGCAAUUAGCCUAUAGGGAGAUGUUUUUCUGAUACAAAACUAAGUUUUCUUUGAAAGUAGGGCUGAAUUUCAAGUAACAGAAGCCACCAAGGUUAUUUUUUCUGCAGAAAUAAACAAAAAAGAGCCUCCUAUGUGCACUUAACUUUCCUUUUUGUGUUGCUUGAAUUUCACUUACGGAGGUAACUUCUUGGCCAAGCCUACAUAAUUAAAGAAUCAGAUUGAUCAGCUGAAUAAUUUAUUCCAAAAAUAAUAUAACCUGGAAUAUGUGGAAUUGACUUUUUUAUCCUACUAAAUGGUUAAUCUGGGGGAUGCCUAGGUGGCUUAGUCGGUUAAGCAGCAGCCUUCAGCUGGGAUCAUGAUCCUGAGUCCCGGGGAUGGACCCCCCAUGUCUGGCUUCCUGCUCAGUGGGGAGUCUACUUCCCCCUCUCCCUCUGUCCCUCCCUGCUUGUGUUCUCCCUCUCUGGCUCUCUC